GACGAACGCUGGCGGCGUGCUUAACACAUGCAAGUCGAACGAAGUGGCGCACGGGUGAGUAACGCGUAAUCAACCUGCCCUUCAGAGGGGGACAACAGUUGGAAACGACUGCUAAUACAGCAUACGGAAGGAGGUGACUGUGUCUGAUUGGCUAGUUGGAGGGGUGACGGCCCACCAGGGCGAUGAUCAGUAACCGGUCGGAGAGGAGGAACCGCCAAAAUGGGACUGAGACCCCGCCCAGACUCCUACUGGAGGCAGAAGUGGGGAAUCGUCCGCCAUGGAGGAAAGUCUUACUGAGCCACGCCGCGUGAGUGAUGACGGCCUUCGGGUUGUAAAGCUAUGUUAAUCGGGACGCGGUACCGGAAUAGAAAGCCACGGCUAACUACGUGCCAGCAGCCGCGGUAAUAC
rnacentral:rRNA from 1 species